GCCCUCCUCUCAAAACAUGAUUUAGGUUCAUUCCGGUUUAUGGUUUCGAUGGUGCAAGCACUCUGCAACCAAACACGAAGAGUCCUCUCUGCUCCAUAUCCGUGGGCCAUGAACAUUGACAACAUAAAUAUCUUCGUUCCCUUUUUCACCCAUAUGUGCAAAGUUCAACUGUAGCCUCUUUUGUCAGCUUAUGGUUAACACUUAACAAUCGCUUUCCUCGUCGGCUUAUUACUUUGUCUUGAGGCUUAUUACUACGCGUCGUCAAGAGAAAGCUCAUUGGUUAUGGCCAUCCAUUCUUUGUGCUUGACCCGAACUGGACUGUGUCUUUGAGGAUUUUGUGUUUGGUAUUAUCCAAAGGCACUUGUGCUUUUGCUUGCUGAAUCAUCUCCCAUGUUCUGUUUGCUUUGUUUGUCUUCCAAGAUCAUUCAUUGCCUCUGUACGGUCGAAAUCUUGUAUAAAUUCGGUUUUGCCCUUACCCCUUUUGACAUCCCGACCUGCUACUUGGU